GAUUGUCUGUGCAUGGGCUGCCCUGGUUUCGAUAGGGGGAAGUGGCUACAGGACUCAUGCGACGUCCAUCGUCAAUACCGCAAGAAAAA
rnacentral:sRNA from 13 species